rnacentral:sRNA from 1 species
AAAAAAAACCGAAUGCGAAGCAUCCGGUUGAAAUAGGGGUAAACAGACAUUCAGAAGUGAAUGACGGUAAUAAAUAAAGUUAAUGAUGAUAGCGGUCACUAUUUUAGUUGCGAAUGAAGAUUCUGUUUUAUCAUUCAGUGCUAUGAAUUUCAUCAAUUUAACCCGUUGAUUUUAAA